UACAGAGGGGGCAAGCGUUGUUCGGAAUUACUGGGCGUAAAGGGCGCGUAGGCGGCCUGUUAAGUCAGACGUGAAAUCCCUCGGCUCAACCGGGGAACUGCGUCUGAUACUGGCGGGCUUGAAUUCGGGAGAGGGAUGUGGAAUUCCAGGUGUAGCGGUGAAAUGCGUAGAUAUCUGGAGGAACACCGGUGGCGAAGGCGCCACUCUGGGCCGGUACUGACGCUGAGGAGCGAAAGCGUGGGUAGCAAACAGG
rnacentral:rRNA from 1 species